ensembl:lncRNA
GAAGUUUUGAGAACAGGGUCCCGGGAAACCUGGGGGCCCUGUUCCCCUUCACGUGAAGUCUCCGCCCACCGGCCGAGGUUCGGGGGUGAAGAAGCGACUUCCAAGGGAUGGGAGGGGACGGGCCAGGUGGCUCAGUGGUGAAGAGUCUGCCUACCAAUAUAGGAGAUGCAAGAGAUGUCAGUUGGAUCCCUGGGUCGGGAAGAUCCCCUGGAGAAGGUAAUGGCAACCCACUUCAGUACUCUUGCCUGGGAAAUCCCAAGGACAGAGAAGCCUGGAGGGCUACAGUCCAUGGGGUUAUAAAGAGUCAGACACAACUGAGCACAACCCAGUACACAGCAUCUGUUUAUAUCUUUCAAUCUGAUCUUACUUAUUUUCAGUAAGCACUAUGUUUUAAAAACCCAUUCAUGUUCUGUGAUUAUUCAAGUGAUGGUUUCAUAAUUAUUUUAUUGCAUAAUUAAUUGAUUCAUUGCACAAUGUACCAUUGCCUAAUGCUCCACAGUGUCAGUCAUCCCACCGAUAGGCACCCAUAUCACCUCCACUUCCCAACCACAACAAAGAAUGUGGCAGUGAUCAUGGAGCUAUGUCUCUGCCUCUGCCUAUGUCUUUGUCUUUAUUUAUAUCUAUCUCCAUGAGCAGAAUUGCUGAGUCAUAGGGUAUACUUCUACCUAAUUUGACUAAAAACUACCAGCUUGCUUUUGAGAAUGGCUAUCAGAGUCUCCACUUCUAUCAGGAGUUCCGGAGAGUUUUGC